rnacentral:lncRNA from 1 species
CGGGCAACUUAGAUUUUCAUAUAAGGUAUAUCAUUUCUGAUCUCUCAUUUAUAUGCUAUAUGAUUCAUGUUUGAUCGACAUCAAUAAGGUAAUGUUGGGAGUGGGGUUCGGAUCUUAUGUUUUCAAUAGUUGUUGCAUGUUUACAAUUUUAAAAUCUGUUUCCACUGUGCAUCCGAAUCCCAACAUGUUUGAUUGAUGUACUAUAAUUUCUAGGUUGAUCCAGGCAUGUCCAUGGCUGACCAAGCAUAAACAUCCACAUUUGACUAUAGAAAAGAGGUUAGCUAAUUUUAGGUUACCUCAUUUAGGUUCGACUCUAUUC